CUACGGAGGGGGUUAGCGUUGUUCGGAAUUACUGGGCGUAAAGCGCACGUAGGCGGACUGAUCAGUUAGAGGAGAAAUCCCAGGGCUCAACCCUGGAACUGCCUUUAAUACUGUCAGUCUAGAGAUCGAGAGAGGUGAGUGGAAUUCCAAGUGUAGAGGUGAAAUUCGUAGAUAUUUGGAGGAACACCAGUGGCGAAGGCGGCUCACUGGCUCGAUACUGACGCUGAGGUGCGAAAGCGUGGGGAGCAAACAGGAUUAGAUACCCCAGUAGUCC
rnacentral:rRNA from 1 species